CCUACGGGGGGCACCAGUGGGGAAUAUUGCACAAUGGGCGCAAGCCUGAUGCAGCCAUGCCGCGUGUAUGAAGAAGGCCUUCGGGUUGUAAAGUACUUUCAGCGGGGAGGAAGGCGAUAAGGUUAAUAACCUUGUCGAUUGACGCUACCCGCAGAAGAAGCACCGGCUAACUCCGUGCCAGCAGCCGCGGUAAUACGGAGGGUGCAAGCGUUAAUCGGAAUUACUGGGCGUAAAGCGCACGCAGGCGGUCUGUCAAGUCGGAUGUGAAAUCCCCGGGCUCAACCUGGGAACUGCAUUCGAAACUGGCAGGCUAGAGUCUUGUAGAGGGGGGUAGAAUUCCAGGUGUAGCGGUGAAAUGCGUAGAGAUCUGGAGGAAUACCGGUGGCGAAGGCGGCCCCCUGGACAAAGACUGACGCUCAGGUGCGAAAGCGUGGGGAGCAAACAGGAUUAGAUACCCGUGUAGUC
rnacentral:rRNA from 1 species